rnacentral:rRNA from 1 species
UACGAAGGGGGCUAGCCUUGCUCGGAAUGACUGGGCGUAAAGGCGCGUAGGCGGCCAACUAAGUCAGACGUGAAAUCCCCAGGCUCAACCUGGGAACUGCGUCUGAUACUGGAUGGCUUGAAUUCGGGAGAGGGAUGCAGAAUUCCAGGUGUAGCGGUGAAAUGCGUAGAUAUGACAUAGAACACCAAUUGCGAAGGCAGCUCACUACACAAUUAUUGACUCUGAGGCACGAAAGCGUGGGGAGCAAACAGG